CUUCAGAUACCAGAUAUGGUAUCUGAAGAAGUGUGCAUGCACACGAAAGCUCAUACCAAAAUAAAAACUUAGUUGGUAUUUUGAUGCCAUUGUUUGUGCAUCAUUAAUUUGAAGGUCCUGUUUGUAGAUGAAUGAAGCACAUUGAAAGCACCACGGCCAAGUUUAUAUCAAAACUCUUUUAAUUUGCCACUGUAGGCUCCUUCCUACUUGUGACUAUGAGGUGACACGCUUGCUUUUUUUUAAAAAAAAAAGUGUUUGUUUUUCCUUACUCUGCACCACAAAGGCCUAAUGAGAAUAUGUGGGCAGGUUAACAUGUUGUGGACUAGUAACUUUUAUAGAGUACUUUGCAGGACUCUUGUUAACAGCUGAAUAGUGUAGCCAGCAAUAACAAAGGUUUCUUGUUCAGUUUCACAGAAUGCUUUGUAAUCUUAUAACUCCAGGGAGAAGAAAACUCUACAACAGGGUAGCGUUUUUUAAAAAUUAAAAUAGUAAGUAAAUAAACGGAGCAAUCGAAUACUUCAGUACUUUUGUUAGCAGAAGAUUCUGUGUUCAGAACUGUGCUGUUGUGCUUUAUAGAGUGGCCAGUGUGGUGUAGUGGUUAAGAGCGGUGGACUCAUAAUCUGGUGAACCGGGUUCGCUUCCCUGCUCCUCCACAUGUAGCUGUUGGGUGACCUUGGGCUAGUCACACUUCUCUGAAGUCUCAGCCCCACCCACCUCACAGAGUGUUUGUUGUGGGGGAGGAAGGGAAAGGAGAUUGUUAUCCUCUUUGAGACUCCUUCGGGUAGUGAUAAAGCGGGAUAUCGAAUCUUCUAUUAUUAUUAUUAUUAUUAUUAUUAUUAUUAUUAUUAUUAUUAUUAUUAAAAUGCUGGGAGCUGCCCCGUAAUGGCCUUUUCCUCCCACUUGCACGACCCCUUUGGUAGGAGCUUGCUAUGUCUUUAUCACUUGGAUUAAGUGUGUGUGAAGCUGGGUUGCAUAAGGGAAAUUGCCGGGAAGGAGGAGCCAUUCAAAGAGCAGUUAGCUAGGGUCCUGGAGUGUGAAACCAGAUUUCAAAGCAACUUCUGUGCAGAAGCUCAAUGUCUGAAACAUAUGGUCAUUUCUUCAAGCAGAGUAAUUUAUUAACCUCUGUUCAAGGAAGCAGAAAUCUACAGAGAUUCUGCUUGAUCUCUCUCUCUCUCUCUCUCUCUCUCUCUCUCUCUCUCUCUUCCUCCCCCCCCCCCCCCACGUUUAAUCUUCUCUUGAGCAUCCUCCAAAAGGAAUGUAGUGCAUGCAGAUUAAAAUGCAUUUACGGCAGUGGAAAACCAUGGACUCUUGAAGUUCUGGCUUGCUUUCAUACCCUGAAUGAAGCCAGCUCCUUGGAGGCAUGGUCGCCGGGGCAAUCCUAAAAAGAGAAGGUGAGACAGAAAGGAUACAGACCUGCCUGAAGAAGGAAGAAGGCUCUCGGCAGAAGGUUUUAACUUUCAGAAGAGCUGCCAUACAGCCGCCCAUUGACUGAUACUGCAGCUGAUCUGAGGACUCUUAAGGAACAUUUAAUUACACAAGCAGCAUGCGUGACUCCCCGCUACCCAGAUUCAUUUUCCCAGCAAGCGCUGCAGGAAACAAAUGCGCUCAACAGUUGCUUAGUUAGAGUAGUCCUACUAUUAUAUUGCUUCUUGGCUGGCUGGCUUUCUUCCCGCUGCUGCGGGUAGCCGGCAUAAUCCUAGCAGAGUAGGAGAACUUGGCAAAAUGGAAAGGAAUCGGUGUCAAGUGUCCAUGAAAGACAGUCAGAAGGGCCACCGAAUCAGAGCAAAUGCAACAGCUGAGCUUUGGCCUUCCUCCCCCCCCGCCGCCCAUUUUUUGGUGGAACUGCUGACGCCUGGUGUAUUCCGUAGUUCCGAUAGCUCCGGUUGAGUGCUCGCUGCUCAUCUAUCUCUGAAACAUCUCCAGCCAUUAGCGGUGAGAGGCAGCGGCGUUUUGCGCUGACAGUUAUUGGUUAACGGGGCGUCCGAUAAUUGCUCACCUGUCUGCCAGAAAUUAAAAGAAUGCUGAAUGGAGUAUGGCCACCAAAGCGAUGUUGAUCGGAUGAUGUCGGCUUUCUAGGUUUGAGAAGAGUCUCCGCCUUCUUUUCUGUGUUGUGGUUCAGCUGCUGUAUUCACACGUGUUGCUUAACUCGUGACCCCUGGAAUGCGCACCCGUGGUUUACUGUACUUUUCCGUGUAUAAGACGAGGGGUUUUUUGGUUCGAAAAUUAUGUUUGAAAUUGGGGGUCGUCUUAUACAUGGAUAGUGCAUGGGGGGAGGAAUUUAGGAUUGGUUACUGCCGCGAGCCUGAGAUUGUCAGUGACUAUAGGGCGUGUAAUUGGUGGCUGCGGGAAGGGCUGGUGUUGAUUGGUUGUCCCUGCGGCAAUUGCGCGGGCGAUUGGCGGUUUCUGCUUGCAAGGGGAAAGACAAUAGGUGGCUUUCGUGACGCAUGCGAGUGGCUAUGUAGGUCAGGCGGGUGAGCGAUUUUCAGCAAUCCCCCCCCAAAAAAGCUCAACCCAAAAAAGCUCAACAAAUCUGGGCAAUCCUCCCCCCAUUUUCUUAAUUUGGAGUCCCCCAAAAUAGGGGGCAUCUUAUACAUGGGGGCGUGUUAUACACGGAAAAAUACGGUAUUAUGUCCUCUUGGCUUUUAUAUCUCAGUUACCACUGCCUCAAGCAUUCCCUCCAAGCCUGGUAUUUUUGAUGGUGUGCUGCAAUGAAAGCAGAAGAGUUUGCGUGGCUUCUUGCUUCCUGCCACAAAAUCAUGGUCCCGCUUCAGGAUUGCAACACAAACUGAAGGGAAGGGCAGAUAUUUGCUUAAUCACCCUACUCUGAGGCAAAGAUUUGACUCCGCACCCGCAGCUGCUGACCACUUUGUUUCACAAGUUCCGUAUUGUUCUUCUUGGAAGGAAAAAAUAAAUUAUUUCAAUUCCCUUCAUCACGGGCCAUUUGAGCGUGAAAUAAAUUGUGUCCUCACUUUGUUUCUUGGGUCUGGUUUUCCUUGUCUUCCGUCUGCAUGGUAAGUGUGAGAAUUCUGGGUCUAACCUCUGUGCAUAAAAAUUGCCGGUUUGAAAAUGAAACAAGGAGUUGGUGGGUGCAGGUGGAAUUAUUGAGAAAUUAAGGCACCAGGGCAGCAACGUUCUCAGUGUCAUGUUAAUGAAACAGCAUGUAUUGUCUUAAUAAGUAUUUUGUUUCACACUGAAUAGUGUGUGUUUGUGUGUGUGUGUGUGAGAGAGAGAGAGUGAAUGUGAUAAAGUAUGCAACCCAAAUCAAGAAUUAGGCGAUGUCAACUGAACUUAGAAAUAUAAGAACCAUAUCAGGGACCUAAUUAAGAGCACAGUUUGUAGGGUAGGAUUACAUACAUAUAAAUUGCCCACCCCUGAAAUUCAGGAGCACUAACAUUACUUGAUGUGCCACAACAGGAACCUUAAUACUUCUCUGUAUCAGCAGAAGAAGAAAUAAAAUUAAAGCCUGUGAUAUAAAGCACUGUUAGGGAGCAGCCUUAAUAAAUGCAUUGCACCAGCCUCAUUCAGUACAGAGACACUGGAAUUAAGUGGUCUAUAAAUGUCAGUUCGAAUCCCAUUAAGUAUACUUCCAAAAACUCAUACUAGAAACUGCAGGGCUCUCAUCAGCCUCUUCUGAUUAAUGAUCCCAUUUUUGAUGCAUUAUAGUUGUUGGUUGGCAUCUGUCUGCCUUGGGAGACAAGGCAGGAGUGCGCCUUCAGGGGUGAAGCCAAGCCAUUGGAGGGUUACAGCGCCUGCUGUGGCUGUAGAAACCAAUGCAGGGGAGACCUGUUUUGUUGCUGUUGGGACAGAUGUUGUUGGGUGGCAUCUAGCUGUGCUGCUUCUCCCAGAUGUCAUUCCUCCUCUGGUCACUGCUAUAGGUGCUCAACCUGACUAUCUUUCUCCAAAGACCACCCAAAAGCAUCAUACAUAUACCAUAGAAAGAAGGGGGUCUACAACAGUAAUUUGAGUUACAGGUAGGUAGCCGUGUUGGUCUGAGUCGAAGCAAAAUAAAAAAAUUCCUUCAGUAGCACCUUAAAGACCAACUAAGUUUAUAUUUUGGUAUGAGCUUUCUUGUGCAUGCACACUUCUUCAGUAAUUUGAGUGUGUGUCUUGUCUCCUGACUGACAAGAUACCUGAUAAUGGUCACAGUUUGCAUCAUCUGGCCAGCCUGGGAUAUCCCUUUGACAUGGUAAAUACCUUGGUUCCUGAAUCCCUUUUACAAGCUUACACCUUCUGAUAUGCAGAAGUUGCUCUACUGACAUGUCUACUGGCUUAACUGAUACUUACCGGACUGGUUUUGCAAGGAGGGAUAAGCCCCCUACUUUCCAAGCAGUUUAUCUAUUAACAAGUGAAAAGAACUAUUUGGGGAAGGUAUUAUCACUCAUUUCCUUCCUUCUACUGCAGAGGGACCCAGGUGGCGCUGUGGUUAAACCACUGAGCCUAGGGCUUGCUGAUCAGAAGGUCGGCGGUUCGAAUCCCUGUGACGGGGUGAGGUGAGCUCCCGUUGCUUGGUCCCAGCUCCUGCCAACCUAGCAGUUCGAAAGCACAUCAAAAUGCAAGUAGAUAAAUAGGAACCGCUACAGCGGGAAGGUAAACGGUGUUUCCAUGUGCUGCUCUGGUUUGCCAGAAGCGGCUUUGUCAUGCUGGCCACAUGACCUGGAAGCUAUACGCCGGCUCCCUCGGCCAAUAAUGCGAGAUGAGCGCGCAACCCCAGAGUCGGUCACGACUGGACCUAAUGGUCAGGGGUCCCUUUACCUUUACCUUUACUGCAGAGAAAUACUGGGGGGCAUUUAAGUCAAAAGGGCUUCAGAAUUGCUCACCUAUAACAUUUAAAGAUAUGGUUUAUGUACACCCACCCUGUGCAUUUUGAACAUUUUAUUUUAUUGUUUUGCGAUCUUAGAAUUUGGCAGGGGGUACACGCAAUGACCACUUCUCUGGUAACACCUUACCUUUUGUAAACUGCCAUUUUUGGUGAAGGGUGGAGUGUUUUGCCAUAAAUCGACACUGUGGGUAAAAUGUGGACAUGGCAAGGCUUUUACGGUUGGCCAAAGCCUUGGUUUAUUUUAUUUUUUGUGCGUUUGCCUUGGAUUAAAACAAGUGGUGUUGACCAAAUUCCUCCCUAUGCAUCCUGGAUACUAAUAGCAUUAGAGCCCUACACCACCGGCAAUUGUAAGUCAGUUUUGUAGUGAUUGAGAACCCCGAAUCCUCAAUAAGCACCGAGGUUCGGGGUGGCUGAAUAUUUAUCUGGGUUGCCCAGCAUGUUGCUAAGAAACACGGAGGCCUUUUGAACGACUAAGUCUGCCCCCCACCUCCAUCCCAGAGCCACGUUUUAAUUUGCUGCCUUGUGAAAAGUCAAAAAAGCUGUAAAGGGAAGGUGCUGUGUUUUUAUUUUCCUGGUUGCCCUGAUUCUCAUAUUUACUUGCUCAUCUUAGACUCGGUCACCUGGGCGCCGAAAAGCUUUUAAGAAGAGAAUUUUGUGUCUGUGCAUAUGUACACAGACAGGCACUCCGUUAGGCUGCAAGAGAAGAGAGGUUUUCUGAAAACUAAUUUAAAUCCUUUCCAGGGUUCUUGGCAGAUAGAUAAUUACAGAGGCGGAUAUGAAUACUCUGCCACCUACCUUUCGCCUCCCAGUACAAGGUUGGGUUUUGACACCGUGCUCAGAUAUAUGGCGCUGGACAACCAGAUUCUUUCUGGCUGACCCAACCAUUAAAUCUUGUGGAAAUCCUGCGCUUACUGUGACAAGUCUUGAAAGCAAGACCCUUUUUCUUUAUGCUUUUAGUCAACUAGCCAAACCUUUACAGCACAGUAUCUUUUCUGUAUCCUCCUCCCGUCUUCUGAAGUGCCCAUUAAUAACAGGUGCUUUCCAGAUUGCUAGCCCAAAAAAUGUGCUAAGAGCAGAUGCAAGAAGAAGCGGGAGGUGCUUCUCAAACUUGGGUUUCCCAUUGUUGUUGAGCUACAACGGCCAUCAUCAUCUUGCAGGCAAGUGAAUUCUUGUAAGAGCAAGCUACAGUUGAGCGAUGCAGUUGAGAUCACAGGAAGGGACCCCUAGGGUCAUCCAGUCCAACCCCUGGCGAAUAGACAUUGCGUUGUGGCCGACUGUAACCUUGGUGUAAGGUGCCAUUGGUGCCUAGCUUACCGUAUAUAUCUCAGUUCCUAGCACUGCUUCUAACUCUACAAUUCUACGAUGGCACAUGACAAAGGGCAAUUGCCUAAACCUCUGCCCUCUGUUCAGAAGAAAGCUUGAUGCCCAAGAGAUGAGAAAUAGGCAAUGAUAUCUGUGGUUCUUGCACCGCAGAGAUGACUCUUUUUUGGGGGGGGGGGUCCUGUCCAAAUCUGCAGUCCUGUGAUUCUGAGAUUGAAGCUGCGGUAAUCCUUGUGCUGAAGCUGGUUCUCCUUGCAUUACUCUCUACCAGGGGUCAGCAAACUUUUUCAGCAGGGGGCCAGUCCACUGUCCCUCAGACCUUUUGGGGGGCCGGACUUUAUUUUGAAGGGAAAAAAAUUAUGAACGAAUUCCUAUGCCCCACAAAUAACCCAGAGAUGCAUUUUAAAUAAAAGCACACAUUCUACUCAUGUAAAAACACCAGGCAGGCCCCACAAAUAACCCAGAGAUGCAUUUUAAAUAAAAGGACACAUUCUACUCAUGUACAAACACCAGGCAGGCCCCACAAAUAACCCAGAGAUGCAUUUUAAAUAAAAUGACACAUUCUACUUAUGUACAAACACCAGGCAGGCCCCACAAAUAACCCAGAGAUGCAUUUUAAAUAAAAGGACACAUUCUGCUCAUGUAAAAACAUGCUGAUUCCAGGACUGUCCGCGGGCCGGAUUUAGAAGGCCAUUGGGCCGCAUCCGGCCCCCGGGCCUUAGCUUUGGGACCCCUGCUCUCUGCUGUCACUUUGAUCUUCAGUUCUUAAGAUGAGGGUGUUCAGAAACCUCCCCCCACCUCCCCCUGUGUGGGCCAUUUCCCCUUCCAUUCCUCCCCCCCCCCCGCCCUCAGAGAAUCUGCAUUUACAUGCACUGGAGUUAGUUGGAUAAUGGCCAGAAAGAAUUGCUAAUGGUAGCUCCUAUGCAUGCAGUGUGGAUUGGCUAAACUGAGAGCCCUAAUGGCCAGAAAUGCCAUUUUUUUAUUUAUUUUUGCAAGCAAACCAUUAUCAUUCAGAAGGCAAUGAAGUGGACAGAGGUGAACAGGCCUGCAUUGGGGGUGGGUGAAGUCUCUGAAUGUAUCUCGGGAGAGAGGAAGGCAUUGAUCCGGUUCUUGCAAUUUUCUGAAUUUCCCCAGACCUCCUUCCAUUUCCUUAUUUCUUUUGCCCCGUCACCAUUAGUCUCCUUCUAAGUACCAUUACUGUAAAAAUCCCCACUGAGAAAUUUAUACAUGAAGCGGGUUCUUUCUUUCUCCCCCCCAAAUCUCUUUAAAAUAAAAGAGCCUAAAAAUAGACCUGGUGGGAGCAGUUUUCCACACUAAGAAUGAAGCCUUGCAAAAAUGUUUUAAUGCAGAUUUGGGACCUAAUUAUUUUUUCUCACCCUGCCUUAGCUGUUGGCUUAGCAAAAGUGUGAACAGCUCCCUCUAAUAGAGCUCUCCCUCUCCCUCUCUAGCCCUUUUCCUGCUCCCGGAGGUUGUGACUCUAAGAGACCCAAGUAACCACCUUCGUUCCUGAUCAGUUCCAACUCCUCUCUCACUCUGCAGAUAAUUGACCAUUAUUUGGAUAACCUGGGAAAGCCCAGUUACUGAAGUCAAACCGGCCACCAAUUAUUACAAUUUGUCGUUAUCGACAUUAGAGGCAAGGUGACAAUUCCAAGGAUUGAAAAUCCAAGAGAGGGUCUCUCCUCCCCCCCCCUUUAGAAACGGGUGAAUGUAUUGUGGGGGAGAGGGAGAGAGAGACAAAAAAUCUAAAAUAUGGUAUUUCAUAAACGCAGCUGUUAGAUGAGGAAGUGUGAGGUAUAUAAUUGUCAUUUUAGGCAUGUAGGUAAGAUUAUAAAAUAUGUUUGUGCUAUGCAAAGAGAGGGAAAUGCCUGGCUCGUAUCACAGUGUAUUUGUUUUCAUUUGUUAUUAAAUUUAUAUCCUUUCCUAAAAAGAGCUUUAAAAAGCACUCAUAGUUCAAUAAUAAUAAUAAUAAUAAUAAUAAUAAUAAUAAUAAUAAAUACAGUCGUACCUUGGUUCUUGAACACCUCGUGACUCGAAUGUUUUGGCUCCCGAAUGCCGCAAACCCAGAAGUAAGUGUUUCGGUUUGCGAACGUUCUUUGGAACCCAAACGUCCGGCGCAGUUUCCAAUUGAGUGCAGGAAGCUUCUGCAGCCAAUUGAAAGCCGUGUUUCAAAUGUUUUCGGAAGUCGAAUGGACUUCUGGAAUGGAUUCUGCUCAAGAACCAAGGUACGACUGUAAUAAUUAUUAUUUUUUGUACCCCACCCACCUGCCUGUGUUGCCCCAGCCACUCUGGGUGGCUUCCAGCAAAACACAGAACAACCCUGUGAUGUAGUUGAGGCCGAGAGUCAAAGACUGUUCCAAGGUCACCCAAUGAGCUUCAUGGCUGAGGGUGGAUUUGAACCUUGGUCUCCCAAAUCCUGGCCCUAACGCUUUAGCCACUGUGCCUCACCACGCCAACUAUCUAUCAAGUCCUAUCAUCUGUGAACAUGUGAAUGUUUACGUAGAAUAUUAGGGCAGUACAUUGCUUACCAUAGUGGUUUUCUAUUUUAUUAUGGAUCAGGUACAUAAUAAAAUUCAGAUUUUUCUCUGAGUAGACCUGCAUAGCAUUGCACUAUAAGACAGAGAGGGAGAGGGAGAGGGAAUGACUAAGUGUGAGUACUUUACCCAAGGGUAUUCUGUGGGCUGUCAAGUGAGACAAUCUACGUAUUUGUUUUAAAAUACUCACAUGCCACCCUUCAGUUGAGAAAAGCUCCCAGGGCUCCUCACGUCAAAAUUACAGCAAGUAAAUAACCAGUAUCAAGCACUAAUAAAACAAAGAAAGAUGAGGAUGUAGAAGUAGAAAGGAUCGCCUGAAUACUCAGGUUAGUUCAGAAUGCUCCUCGAUGAGUCCAGCAGGUGAGAAGCAUCUCCACUGGCUCCCUGUUUGCUUCCAAGUUCAGUUCAAAGUGCUGCCAUUUGGCUUUCAAAAACCAACAUGGCAUUUUUACCACCUCAUGGGGCUUCUGUCAGUACAAUAUUGCAUGCAAAGACAGGCUCCAACAGAUUGAGCGAACGAGACCCUUAGUCGGCCCAGCAGUCGAGAAGGUGGUUUCUGCUGUAGAGGGAAGUGAGGGGCAGGUGGGGCUUGUCAACCUAGGAAGAUAGCCCAUCUAGGAGAAGGAAAACUCUCAUCCUCAGCUGGCUUGUGAGAUACCUGUGGGAGAAGAAAAGGCUAAGAAGUAAGCCCUACACAAAUCUGGAGUGGGGUCCCUAAGAUGGUUGGAUGGUGCCUUGUACGUCUCCUUCCUGCAACUCCUGCAGCCAAGCUGGUGCCAGACAUAUUGCUCUGCUUUCCUUUGCACCACAUCAGGGAGGUCAAGAGAGGGGCUGGUCUUGCCAUCUGGGCAGCCCAGGACCUCCAUGCACACUGCCCAGUGCCCAGGCUUGCUCUCCUUGAAACUGACAACACUCCAUUCUCAGAAAUGGUAAAAAAAUUCAAACUUUCUUUUCCCAAAAUGUGUGUGUGUGUGUGUGUGUGUGUGUGUGUGUGUUUAAAGCAAGAAUUUCUUUCUUUUAUAUAACUUUCCGCAAUACCUUUAAGAUGGGUAAAGAAAUGAAACAAAGGCUGAGAAGCAAGUUGCUUGAUAGGACAUUUGCCGACCUCAAUCUCUUUGGUUUAUCAAAAGGGAGCUGUAAGUGGCGGGCUGAUUGCUACAUAUACUUUCUUGGGAACGCGGCAAAGCUGCCGGGUGACUUCAAGGUCUGUUCUUCCAGCCGUCUGAAAGAGUAAGUGGAAGCUGGAGUUGAAAAGUGCAGUUGAGGCACAACUUCUAAGAGAGGAGGAAAUUAAAUGCCUCAAAGUCUUAGUAGAACAAGGGGGCGAGACUUCCAUACCACUCGGACGAGAACUUCAGAUUGAAUUUGUUCAGAUACAAAACGGCCACCUUGGAUGUAAACUUGAGUGACCUCCAAAGGCAGGAGAGCAAAUUGAGGUGGCCUUUGGGACAUGGAGAUUAUGAAAACAUGGGAUACCUGAUAGCAUUUAAUGUACAAGUGUGGGUCAAAUGUGGCCAUUCAAAGGCACUGUCAAAUGUUCCAAGAGUUAUUGCACCUCAGACCAUGGCUGAAGUGUAGUGUGUUUCUAUGGAAGAUGCAAACACCAUCAGGACGUCCGUUCUGCACAAAGUAGAAAUUGGACAUCUACCCAUCAGAAUUUCCUCCCAUCAAAUAUUAAACAGUAGCUGUCUAUUCAGCAACUACUGGAACUAUUUUGUCCAGCUCACCCAGGGCUGGGUGUAAGCUGCCUAGGGGACUUUCGUUAUAGGGUGGUAUAUAAAGAUUUAACAAGAUAAAAGUAAAAUAAAAAGGCUAUCUGCUCCAGCAGGCAGAAGUUCUUCCAAGUUUCAAGCAGAUGACUGAUUUGAUCCCAGCUACCUGAGAUCAUUGAAGUGGAGAUGUCAGCGAUUGGAUGAAUUGUUUGUGGGUUUGUGGGUCUGCUUGUUGGGUGAACCAGGAAAUGUUGAGCCUUAAUAGAUGUAUGCGAUACACAUUCCUGAAUCCUUGGUUUGGGAAUUCAGCACUAAACUGGAAGUGAGAGAAGGAGUCACUUUUCUUUGCUUACAUCAAUUUGUGGCCCUCAAAUUUCACAUCCCACAUUGCUGUUCUCAUCAUGACUCCCGUCUGAAGUAAGAGAGACUGCAGUUCUUUGCUCAGCCAAUUGCCUUUUUAAAACAACAACAACAACAACAACAACAACAACAACGGUUCCACUAUAAAGAAGGCAACUUUCCCAUCAAGAUCUGAGGUCUCGCCCACCUGCAGUCCUCAGUAAUCUGUGUCUGUUUUACACCUAACCUGCACACCUGUGCUCUGUUCUUCAUCAGGAUAAAAACCCAUCAUCUCAUUUAUUUAACAAACAUAAAGGAGAAGGAGAAAUUCCACCCCAUAUGUACGUCAAAGGCAAUUUACUGUGCUUGACAUUGAGGCAGAUGGAGAGGAAUGUGUUUGGGGUGGGUUCCCCCCCCUUCUUUUUUAAUAGCUUAAGCUGUCACGAAUGCAGGAACCCAUUUUGAUCAGAGUCCUUUUUGAAAGUUUGAAGAUCUCAGCAAAAUGCUAGUUUUAUUUACAAUCAAUGGCAGAUACAGUCGGCGGUUUAUUAAUACCUAAAUCAAUACGAUGCUGUCUGGAAUGUCACAUUAAUUUAAAGUUGCGACACAUAGGCAAGUAAGCAAAUCAGGGUGACUUCCAGGAGAAGUUAACUUCACUGUGGUUAAGGUGUGGGGAGGGAGGGAAGGAAGGAAGGAAAGAAGGAAAGAAGGAAGGAAGGAAUCUUCGUUGUGAUGGAAUAGCACUUAACCACCUGGGCAAUGGGUCUCUGGCUCUUCCAGAGCAUCACCCAAGGAGCAAGCUCUGAAUGCAGUAGCCAGAAACAGCAUGGUCAUAUGAAAUUGGGCAGAACUUGCAAAUACAGUGGUACCUCUACUUACGAAUUUAAUGCGUUCCGAACGCAUUAAAUUCAUAAGUCAAAAAAAUUUGUAAGUUGAAUCCAAUAGGAAUGCAUUGGGAGAAAAAAAACGUAAGUCGAAGCAACCCUAUCUAAAAAUUCGUAAGUAGAAAAAAUCCUAUCUAAACCGCAUCCAAGAUGGCGGACAGAGCUCCGUUCGCAAGUAGAAACAUUUGUAAGUAGAGUUAUUCGUAAGUAGAGGUACCACUGUAAUUUCCAACUGAUUUUCAGAGGCAUGCUGUCUAUGUAUCUGGACGUGCUACUCGACUCUCACUAGUGGGACCUGAUACAACACCUUGCAGUGAAGCAUUCUCCUAUACAGUGUCGUUGCUGGGCAGUUUUGCCCUUUGGUAGGAGACUCCAUCCCACCACCACUCAGCUUUCAGUUCUGCCUACUCCCAACAGUCAGUGAGCUUUCCGUGCUCAGUCCCCAUUGUGCUGUUUUUGAGGUUUUUCUCACUUAGGGCUCCCCCCCAAAAAAAAGAUUUGUUGUGUUUCUGCAAAACUUUGGUUCCCCCACUAAGCCUGCCGAUACCUCUCACUUGUGUAUGGAUGGUGCCGUUUUGGCCGCAUAAGGACCAGCCAAUUGUAGGGUGUGUUUCCUGUUAGUACGGUAUGAAAAAGGAUGGGGAACCUGUCGCUCUUGAUGGACUCCAGCCACUGUGGCCAGUAGUAAGGGAUGAUGGGAAUUGUAGUCCAACAAACAUCUAGAGCAGGCACCCCCAAACUUCGGCCCUCCAGAUGUUUUGGACUACAAUUCCCAUCUUCCCCAACCACUGGUCCUGUUAGCUAGGGAUCAUGGGAGUUGUAGGCCAAAACAUCUGGAGGGCUGAAGUUUGGGGAUGCCUGCUCUAGAGGGUUGCAAGUUUCCAAUCCUAAACAACCAUUGUUAGAUCUGUCCUUGGUAAAUUUGUCUAAAUAUUGUGUGCAAUCUCAUCUUCUGGCAUUGAAUUACAUCCAUAGGGUUCCACGUUAGCUGUGGCUGCUGCUGAGUAAACCAGGUGCUAUGAAAAGGAAUGUGUCUGCUCACUUAAAUUAGGGCCCAUUUUAUAGAAGCAUUUCUUAUCAUUCUCUAAAGACAAUAUACUUUAGAAGGAGUUUGCCUCUCUUCGAUAUCCGGAGCAUGCUCAGCUUGGAAAGCUAGUGCUUCAAGACUUUUAAAAAAUAUAUUUUAACAAUCCUGAUCGGCCUACUUUCCACAUGCAGAGAGUUUUCAAAAGGGAGAACAUUCAAAGGGUGCAGCUUUCCAACACAUGCACACACCCUGCAGUCUGAAAUGGUACAAUCUGAGGAAGAAUUAAACAAGCUUUUUCUACGUAUUUGAAUUGUCGUCUUAACCAAUCUGGAUUAGCCCGAUGCCUUAAAAUAGUAUAACUUUCUUUAUCAGGGAGGAAAAUUCUCAUCUUGUUAUACUUGCAUAUUUUACUUAAGCUAGAUUAACAUUUGCUUUCUGGGCAUAUGAAAGAAACGCUAUUUUCGUUUUUGGCUCCAUUUACUGUAUAUCUUAGCAUUUUAUCUAAUCACGUUGUCCGUAAUUGUGCAUACAGGGAAACGUUUUCUCUGAGCUGGCUUUAAUGACACCAUAUCUUAAUCUUGACAGGUUGCAGACAAUUUAGGACCUAACUGACUCUGAGAACAGCGAACGUUAUCCCUUUCAGUGUGGAUGUUUGUGCUAAAACUUUUGUAAAGUUUAGAAAGAUAUUUAUUCUAAGCCUGUUGUUGGAAGUUGUUUGGACUGCGCUUUCUCUGCGCUGGUAGAAAUGCUUCGAAAUACAGAACAAAUUUGUGUUCAAACCAGUAGUAUCCAUACUUCAGAACAGCCUCCCACAACCUGGUGUCACUACAAAUUUUAACAGCCCCAGCUUGCAUGGCGGCCAAUGGUCAGGUGUGAUGGGAGUUGUGCUCUAACAACAUUUGGAAGGCAACAGGUUGAGCAAGGCAGCCUUAGAAUAUAUGACCAACUUCAUCCUUAGAUGGAAGCUUUGUUCAUUCAAACAACAAUUUGAGGGCUCAGCUGUCCGGGAUGUUUCUCUCCUAAUGUUUGUGUGUUGAGCACAACUGUCUGCAGGGAGACUGUUCAUCUGAACCCUCUUAGAUUCUUCAUGCAGACUUGGAAACUUGCUACACAAAAAGCCAAGAGAAGAGGGGGAGCUAUGGGGAAAGCCUCUAGCUCAGUGGCAGAGCAUCUGCUUUUCAGGUUCAAUCCCAGAUAUAUCCAGGUAGGUAGGGUUGGGGGAGAGCAGCUGCCUGUCAGUGUGGACAUUACUGAGCUAGAUGGCGCAAUGGGCUCCUGUGUUCCCACAAUGGUGUGUGCCUCAGUCUACCCAGUGGUAGGGCCAGCCCUGGCAGGUAGCAGAAGAAUAAGGGAGCAACUCCUGGGUCCUUUAUCAGGUUCAGCCCACAUUUCUGUCUUCUUCUUUGCAAGCACAGCUCUUCCUAAAGGAAUAAAAAUCACCCUUUAUAGCAUUUAAAGGUAAAGGUAAAGGACCCCCAGAAGGUUAAGUCCAGUCAAAGGCGACUAUAGGGGUGUGGCGCUCAUCUCGCUUUUCAGGCCGAGGGAGCCGGCGUUUGUCCACAGACAGCUUUCCGGGUCAUGUGGCCAGCAUGACUAAACUGCUUCUGGCACAAUGGGACGCCAUGGCGGAAGCCAGAGCGUGCGGAAAUGCCGUUUACUUUCCCGCCACAGCGGUAUCUGUUUAUCUAGUUGCACUGGCAUGCCUUCGAACUGCUAGGUUGGCAGGAGGCGGGACAGAGCAAUGGGGACUCGCCCCGUUGUGGGGAUUCGAACCGCCGACCUUCCGAUCGGCAAGCCCAAGAGGCUCAGUGGUUUAGACCACUGCACCACCCAAGUCCCUCUUGUAGCAUAUGUAUAUUAUACCAGUAGUAUAUAUGUGGAAAGGCUUGCUUUGAUGUCUUUCGCUCUUACAUUUGUUGAACACCCGGCGCUCAGUUUGGAGGAAGGGUGGUUCAUAAAUAAAUAAUUAAAUAAAAUAAAUGAUAAAAAUCAAUGCACUUUGUUUUGUUUCCCGGUGGGGCGGAGGCUUCUAGAGUAGUGACAGCACUCAGGCAGGUCCCCCCCCCCAAAAAAAAGCAUCUCGUGAGAAUAAGUAGGCAGCAGCAAUCCUUAGCAAUUCAUAGCCAGCCAUCGCUGCUUAUUUAGUAUAAUAUAUGUAUGCUAUAAAGGAUAAUUCUCGGGAAACAAAUUUGUGCAGGUUCUGACACUGUAUAAUACGGUAAUGGAGCAUUUGGCAAUUAUGGAAGUUUAUUUACUUCUGAGAAAAGACCGUACCGGGUUGUUUCAGAGAGGGGGAAGCCUUCUUGUGGCUGGAACCCUUGUACUGUAAAUUACAUAAUCUCUCUAAUAGCUGCCAGAAUUGUACCCAGCUGUUGUAUUUUGCCCCCACACAGCCGCAGAGCUGGGUAAAACGUUUUCAGCGCAGCAAUUAAGAACAGAUCAUCAAUUCCACCCCAAUUCUCUUCGGGUGUUUUCCCCCCCUGUUUUGUUUUCAAACCAUUCUACCGAAGCGUUGUAUAUUACAACUCCACUUUUCUCCAUAAAUAAUGUUACCUGCCGAGGCAGGGAGCAAAGCAUCAUUUCGUUAGAGCUGCAGAUGGCGCAUGAAAAUAUCGAUGUUAGUUCUUUCUGCUGUCUGAAUGGGAACCGUGGGGUUGUCUGUCUUUCUGCCUGUGUUCCUUUAGGUCCGUGCAUAUGUGUAUAUAAGCACAGAGAGAGAGACACACACAAAAUACAGUAAUGCACAUUUUCCUUAAUGAGCGUUGCCUUAAGGCAACGUGAUGUACAUAUUCAAAUAAAGAUUUAGAGAAUGGACACAAAUUGACAGUGGAUCAAAUUUAGCUAUGUCUAUUAAUUUCAGUGUAGGGGCGCAGGUGGCGCUGUGGGUUAAACCACAUAGCCUAGGGCGACAGGGUGAGCUCCCGUUGCUCGGUCCCAGCUCCUGCCAACCUAGCAGUUCGAAAGCAUGUCAAAGUGCAAGUAGAUAAAUAGGGACCGCUACAGCGGGAAGGUAAACAGCGUUUCCGUGUGCUGCUCUGGUUCGCCAGAAGCGGCUUUGUCAUGCUGGCCACAUGACCUGGAAGCUGUACGCCGGCUCCCUCGUCCAAUAAUGCGAGAUGAGCCCGCAACCCCAGAGUCGGUCACGACUGGACCUAAUGGUCAGGGGUCCCUUUACCUUUUUUUAUUAAUUUCAAUAGGUCUACUCUAACAUUGGAUCAUCGGGCAAUGUCAAUUAGGUGCUUAUUUAGUAUAUUUAUAUUCCAUUCUUCUUCUAUUGUGGAACUCAAGGCAGCAUACGUGAGGUUCCCAGGCAGUCUCCCAUCCGGGCACUUACUAGAUGUCGAUCUGCUUAGCUUACCCUGCAUGCCCUAAGAUCCACAAGGGCUGGUAAAUAUUGCUUUCCCCACUUGAAGGGUAUCUGUUGUAUGUACAAUGCAUGAAUCACUGCAAAAUCAAGACACACUGGACACACUUAGUCAAUGGAUGACUUCAGAAUAAAACAUAAUACAGCAUUAAAAGCAAGCUCUGGCACAUCCUCGCUCUCCUUGUUCCUUUGCCUUUUGUGUCCAGAUUUAGAAACUUCAUUUUUUUGGAUUGUCAGCAUAUCCUAGACUGCAAACCUUGGUGUAUGAUCCUGGUUCGUGGGCAAGCAAGGGUUUGCACAAACCAAAGUUUGCCAGGUUUGGAUGAACAGCAAACUAUGGCUUGCUGCAGAGCAGGAAUGGAAGCAAGGCUUUUCACAAUUGCAAGGAUGGAGAUAGGUAGAUAUAUCUGGCAGCUGAAUUUGAAAACACUGAUCUCUGUCUUUCUUUCUUUUUUGCAUUCGUGAUCUCACUCCCUGUGAUAGUGCCUUGGUAUCAAAUGGAUUAACAACCGGUUUACACCAAACAUGCGAAAACAAAUUAGCAAGAGGCAAAUACAAGCACUUCCUUAUCCUUAAUGAGGAAAUGUCUGGUGCUGACUGUAGUACAAAUGUUAAGUUUUUAUUCCGUUUGAGUAACCCUUUGGUAUUUUAAUGAAGUCCUGUUCCCCCGUACUGCAUAUGGCUCGCUGUCGGAUAGCUUAACACUAAGAAAAUCUGCCUUGAAUAAAUUAGUAUAUAUUUGCAAAUUAAUUGGUUAAUUAGAUUUCAGACAUCUCUCGGGGGCAGGGAAGAAACAGAUGUGUGUGCAAGCCACACCGAUAAUUGGGGGAAAGGAGAGGCUUUCUUGCAGAGCAUGUUGCUGGAUUCUCUCUUUUUUUAAAAAUAAUAAUAAAAAGUCUUGUGCAGGGUGCAUAGGCUGAGAAAAACAAAAAUCUCAUUAUUACUGGGGAGGGGGAAUAGCAUUAGCAUUUCCAUGGCAUGUUAAUUUGUUUUGUUUUUUUAAGGUUGGCCUCCAUCUGACCCCUUUAGCACCAUAGUGAGAUCUCUUAUAACAGGCUGACCAUUGGUCCAUCUAUUUCAGUACAGUGGUACCUCGCAAGACAAAUGCCCUGCAAGCCGAAUUUUUCACAAGACGAAUGAGUCUUGUGAUCUGAUGGUGACUCGCAAGAAGAAUUCGCUUUGCGAAAAAUUCAUCUUGUGAAUUGCGGUUUCCCAUAGGAAUGCAUUGAAAUUUAAUUAAUGCGUUCCUAUGGUCAAAAAAAGAAAUUUCAAUGCAUUCCUAUGGGAAACCGCGAUUCGCAAGAUGAAUUUUUCGCAAAACGAAUUGACUCGCGGAACGAAUUAAAUUCGUCUUGCGCGGUACCACUGUAUCUCAGUGUUUCCCAAUCUUAGUUCCCCAGCUGCUGUCGGACUACAACUCCCAUCGUCCCUAGCUAGCAGGGCCCAUGGCCCAGGAUGAUGGGAGUUGAAGUCCAACAGCCGCUGGGGACCCAGAUUUGAGAAAACUGAUAGCAGUUCGCCAGGGUUUCAGAAAGGGGUGUUUCUCAGCUCUACCUGGAGAUGUCGGGAACAGAACAGGGAAUCUUCUGCAUGCCAAGCAUCUGCUCUGGCUCUGGCCAUUCUCCACAGAGUGGGAACGAAGUGCAUUUUUAGAGCGGGCGUGAUUUCAAAUGAGCAAAGCGUCUCUUUCCUCGGUUGUGACUAAAAGUCUUCAAGAAACCAUAUGGAGUGAAUUGCGACUCUGCUUUCCAGAUUUUAGGGGACGAGGAAUGGCAAUGACUGAACCAGACAGUAUUAAGCAGUCGGUGAGGAAAUAAGCCAACCGCCGUUUGAGGACAGAAUGUCUUAUUCAGUGUGAGGUGCUGGCAGAAUCAGAUUCUGUUCUUUGGAACAGCAAAUGUAAAUCCAGAAACCACACGGUGUGGGCUCUAAUCUUGAGAACGGAUCCUUUUACAAUCACUUACCCAAAUGCCUCAAAGCCAGGGAGGAGAAAGUGAUGCACGGGGAUAUUUCAUAUUAAUUGUUGUUUGUGUUAGGCUGAAAGCACUUGUUGAAUAAUUGGUGCGGUAAUUUGCAAACUAGAAGUGUGUGCUUAAAAGAAGCAGAAAUAAGGACUCCCCUCUCCAAUGGGGGGGGCAGGGGGAAAUAGUCAGUGCUGAUAGCAGUAUCACAAACUGGGAGAGACCUUGAUCAGAGCACUGAGGCCCAUACUGGAAAUCUAUCAAGAGGUGAUUGGAGAACUGUAGCCAAUCUGCAUCUUUAUUUCAGCAUGGACCUGAAAUUAUCAAAUGGCCGAUUUGUGGCCAAUCCGUGAUUCUUCUGUCACAUCUUGUCUUCUGAGAUAGUUGCCCUUAAAAGUCAAACCUUUGUGAAGGUAGCAGUUGCAGACUAUGUUUGCCUUUGCACAUGUGCAAUGGAAUACACUCAAAGUUUUGUUUCUGUUUGAAUAGAGAAAGGGUCGGAUGGAUGUGCUGUAUUGGUUAAGGGCCCUGUUGCCGAAAGAAAAAUCUUAUGCUACCAGCAGAUUUUCCUCUGACUGGACUUCACCAGUCAUGAAAGUGAAAAGGAAAAGAAAAGCCACCAUGAAUUAGAUUUCCAUUUCCCCUACUUUUCCUUAUGUCUGAUCUUUUAUUUAGUGACUGAAUGCGCGCGCACACACACACACACACACACACACACACACAAACACACCAUUAUUUUAAAUCCCGUAUUUCGGAAUGCAAGUCCUUCUGAGGCUACUCACAAGGAGCUUCAAAACACACGAAUGAAUUAUCAGCAAACAAUAUGAAAACAAAGCGGGUCACCAUAAUCCUUUCCACAGGGCUUGUCCGGGUUAGAUGACACUUUGGGGAUCAGUUCUGCUAGAACUGCUUUUCUUUGCCUAGCUGUGUCUCUCAUAAAACCAGAAGGAACAACAUCCUGCCUUCAACGUAGCCAGUCAAAAGACCGAAAGCGGGACCUGAGCACAACAGCUUUCUCCCUACUUGUGAUUUCCAGAAACUUGUAUCCUCUCAAUCAGCCACACUAGGAAACUACCUUUGGGUGAUAUAGCAGUCUUCACGAUCAUACUGCUUUACCUCAGUGGCAAAGAACAGAACCUUACAUUAUUAUUUUCGUUUAUGAAAAUAUAGCUGAGGUUCUUGUGACUGUUCAACGAUAGCACGGGCAGCUUAAAUAUGUCCGCAUGUCUUCUGCAGGCCACAUGAAGUUCUGCUUUAAACAAUCCAGGAGUGAGGGACUGGGGACCUUCCACGCAUUGCUGGACAACAAUGGUCCUCACCCCUGACUAUUGUUCAGGGUGCUUGAGGCUGAUGGGAGUUGAAAUCCCAACAACAUAUGCAGGGCCCCAGGUUCCCCACCACCGACGUGUGUUUAUGUAGCUUCCCACCCAGCCAACAUGCUGAAGGUGAUCUAUCAGGAAAUGAAUGAAUAAUGUCGGGUGCAGGGGCACAGAUGGUACCAGCGAGUAAGAUUUCAUUUCCCAAUAUUCCAAGGGCAAAAGCCAAGGCUGUUGAAGGAGGGCGAGUGAAAAGAUGUGGACCUGAGCAAGGGAAGCUCCUAACUAUGAAAUCUGUCAGGCUGGCUUCCGUCAGACUGACUGCAUUUCCUAAUCAGAAGGAUCGCCAGACCAAGCUAAAGAAGAAUAUAGGUCAUGAUGCCUCAGUUACACUUUGCCUAGUCACAGGGCGAUCUGCCUGGAAGUCUGUGUAGCUGGCAGGACAUGGAAAGGUCUUGCCAGCUUCUUGGGGCAGGGGGGUGUUAUUGGAGUGCCACCUGCAGGCAAAUUUGCUUGACUGCCCAGCUUUUUGCCAGAAGGAGUAUCAGAUACCAGGGGACAGUUUCCUGCUCUCACCGGAACAUUGCAUCGUGGGCUUUAUUAGGUUGUCGUGUGAUGACCUACUUUCGGGCUGUGCAGCCCAAGAGUAGUUUAGAGACCCAGAACCAUAAGAAUAUGGGCAUUGAAGUUGUCCAUCAAAGGUUCACACCUGGGCCGCAGGUAGACAGGUCACUUGGUCGCAGCAUUCCCCAUUGUCGUGAGGGAAUUACAGCAAAAAAAUAAUAAUACUUUUUUUCUAAAUGUGCAUCUGUACGAAUGCUUUGCAAAUCCAAAGGCUCCUUUUGUCCCGUGCCCCAGUCCCAUGGCAUGCUUCCUCUUCUUUGAUGGUACUUAAGUGGCUACUCUGGUUUUUAUCCUGCAUUCUAGAUAACCCCAGGGUUCCUCGGGAGGUUUCCUCUGAGGUUUCUGAAACUUCCCUGCUGCACAGCUUGCCCAUUCACCUUUAAACUCACUUUCCAAUGUUCAUCUGCAGGAGAGUGUUGGAUUUGUCUUAGUCUCUACUCUCAGUUCAAACAGCAAGGUCCCUGGGGCUACCUAGUACCCCAUUCAGCAGAAUGUCUGCUUUUAGAAUGUGCUCUAAGAUCUCUGCAACAUUUUGGUUGGUAUUCCUUAGCCGAUAAUGCAACUCUCUAUUGUUAUUUUUAUAUGUGCAUGCCUAAGUUGCAAUUGACACAUAUUGUUUGUAGCUUCUGUGCUAUGCCAAAGGAAGUCCAAUCAGUUUCCACCACAUGGGCUACUAAACGGGCUGAGUGGUUGAGUGGUUUGAGUCUUGGCUUUUGCAUCCAGACUCAACCACCCUCCUGCUAUGACCUGCUAGUUCCGUCCUUAGAAUGACAAGCGUGUUGACACAAAACAUUUUGUUUGCAUCUAUUAAUUUGUUUGAGUAAAAGCUUGAGCCUUAUUGGGCUAAAUAGCUUCUAAUCACAUAAUAAGUAACGUAGAAGUUGCCCCCCCCGCCCCCUUCCUUCCUUCUUUAACUUGGCAGGCUCAGUAACCGGCAAAUGCUGGAACAAAGCAGCCGAAAAAGAUCGACAUGCCCAGAAGUAAGGAUUUGUGUAUUCAUUAGUGACCUCGACACUUUCAGAAAAACAUGGCUUGAUUAAUAUCAGCUUAGGAAUUGGGGGAUUUAGAUUUCAAGAACAAAAAGUGUGUUCAAAGAUGGGGAAGAAAUGAUUUUCAAUUUAAAUGCAAUGUAAGAGCUAAUUGCCUUUCUCCUGCUUAAAUUAACUUUACCCCUGUGCCAGGUCCUGGAGAAAUAGGGAAUUAAUGAGACUAUAGGCAUAGCAUAGACCCAAGUAGGUGCCAAUGACUUAAUGGGAACAGAGACUUUAUGGUUAUUGCUUUAGUGCUUUAGUCAUAGACGACUUUCGACCUACCUAUGGGUCUCAUGCAUCAAUUAUUUCUCUACUCUUUGGAAAAGCAAAUAACAAAUCCUGAAGUAGCUGAAGUCAGACUGUGAGAUUUUGAUAUGCUCCCUUCCAGUGUUCGAAAUUUGCCAAGCGCAUUUUGCACCUGGUUAUCGGCCACUUGCGACCGAGGGAAGAUGCCCAGGCGCCAGGAGUCUCCACCAUCUGGAGGUGCAUGCCUGGGGAUCCUUGGAUCUUGCCUGUUUUCAUACGCUAGCAACACAUCCAGUAGAAUCCUAUCCCUUAUGUUUUAUCUGCACAAUCAGAAUGAAUUUCAGGAACCAAAAAGUCAUAUUGAGAAAUUCAACUUUCAAGCCAUGUAACCCUGGUUUAAGAAGCUGUAACCCUGGUUUAAUAAACCAUUUGGUGCCCAGCUUAUAUAUCUGAGUUAUCUAACACUGCUCUCUCCUCUUUGGAGGCAUUGCGUGUUAGUUGCGACAGAAGAAGGCUAAGUUACGUGAAGUCCCCUCUCAUAAUAGUAGAACUCUGAUGUUGUUUCCAUGUAUCUAACACGAUGGUGAUGAUGAAGUUGAAUGUUGGAAGAUUCAGAACAGGCAGAAUAAGGACUUCAAUCAUGCAGUGCAUAGCUAAACUAGAAUCCACCCUUGCAAGAGGUACCAAUGGCCACCAACUUGGAUGGCUUUGAAAGAGGAUUAGACAAAUGCAUGGAUGAUAAAGCUAUUAAAGGUAAAGGGACCCCUGACCAUUAGGUCCAGUCAUGACCGACUCUGGGGUUGCGCACUCAUCUCGCAUUAUUGGCCGAGGGAACCGGCAUACAGCUUCCAGGUCAUGUGGCCAGCAUGACAAAGCCGCUUCUGGCGAACCAGAGCAGCACAUGGAAACGCCGUUUACCUUCCCGCUGUAGCAGUUCCUAUUUAUCUACUUGCACUUUUUGAUGUACUUUCGAACUGCUAGGUUGGCAGGAGCUGGGACUGAGCAAUGGGAGCUCACCCCGUCGCAGGGAUUCGAACCGCUGACCUUCUGAUCAGCAAGCCCUAGGCUCAGUGGUUUAACCCACAACGCCACCUGGGUCCCUGCGAUAAAGCUAUUACUAGUAGCUAUUAGUGGCUAUUAGCAACAGUGGAGAUGUUCUUCCUCCACUGCUGCCUCUGAAUACCAGUGGCUGGGAGUCGCAGUUCGAGAGAGGGCUGUUUCACUCAAGUCCUGCUUGCAGGAUUUCCUUAUAGGUAUCUGGAUGGCCCCUGUGGAAACAGAAUGCUGGGCCAAAUGGACCCUCAGCCUGAACUCAGUAAGGCUUUUCUCGUGUUCUUAUGCGUAUUCCUAUGCAGAUUGCAUGGAGACAUUUGCAUCUGUGCUCAGAUCAGUUCAUUUGGUCAGCAGCUGAACACUCAUCUCAGUAUGGUUCCCCAGUUCAGUUGCUACAUUCAGGGUGAGCCAGUUCCUUUUCUGUAAAUGCUUUGAGUCAUGGGGUGGGGAGAAACAGUGCCAGGACUUCAGCAGUCACAGAAUCAUAGGAUUGCAGAGUUGGGAAAUGCAGGAAUACGAAGCUGGGAUCAAACUUGCAACCUUGGCAUGAUCAGCACCACGCUUCAGCCAACUGAGCCAUCCAAUCAUUUGGCUUCCUUGCCUUGUAAAGGUAAAGGGACCCCUGACCAUUAGGUCCAGUUGCGGACGACUCUGGGGUUGCUGCGCUCAUCUCGUUUUAUUGGCCGAGGGAGCUGGCAUACAGCUUCCGGGUCAUGUGGCCAGCAUGACUAAGCUGCUUCUGACGAACCAGAGCAGUGCACGGAAACGCCGUUUACCUUCCCGCCGGAGUGGUCCCUAUUUAUCUACUUGCACUUUGACAUGCUUUCGAACUGCUAGGUGGGCAGGAGCUGGGACCAAGCAAUGGGAGCUCACCCCGUUUGGGGGAUUUGUACUGCUGACUUUCUGAUCGGCAAGCCCUAGGCUCUGUGGCCUAGGGCUUGCCGAUCCCACAGCACCACCCGCGCCCUUGCCUUGUGCAUAACCCCAAAUUCAGCGCUCUUACUUCUUUGGACUCCUAUCCUCCUUUGCAAAAUCACUGUGAGAUUUCUGAAAGUGGGACCCUGUGCGUUCCACGAAUAUAUGCCCUGCAUAUGCCCCCACAAUCUACUCCAGCUCUCCCCAACCUGCUCCCUUUCAGAUGUUUCGGAGGACAACUCCCAACUCCCCAACCACCAAUGUGGCUCUGCUGGCCCUGGCUGAUGGGAGUUGUAGUCCACCUGGUUGGGCAAACCUGGCCUACAUUGCCACCAUGUGGUGACUGCCCAGAAAGCGGGUAGUUCUGGACGGAAAAGAGUUGAGACAAAAUCAUAGAAUCAUAGAGUUGGAAGAGACCACAAGGGCCAUCCAGUCCAACCCCCUGCCAAGCAGGAAACACCAUCAAAGCAUUCUUGACAUAUGCCUGUCAAGCCUCUGCUUAAAGACCUCCAAAGAAGGAGACUAUCCAAAGAAUCCAGCCUAUGAAUUUCACUUCUCUUUGACCCACCCCGGUCAACAGAACCAUUAUCAAGAGAUUACUCUCUGGAAUAUUAUAUAGGCAGAGACAAGGACCUCGGGGGGGGGUGUCCUCUUGUAUAGAGGGAUACCCUUGCAACCAGAUGAUUAUUCCAUUCCCAUGUUUCCCCAGAGUAAAUUCAGAUAUCGGCACUGAGGCCUGGCUUCACCCUUUGUUGCCUGAACUUUUGUUUUCCUGGUAAUUUCUCCCACAAUUUUUCUGAGCGUCCCCCCUUCUCUCUCUCUCUCUCUCUCUCUCUCUCUCUCUCUCUCUCUCUCUCUCUCUCUGCCAACAAUGACCAAAAAUCGACACGUGAAGUCAAAUGUUUGCACCGGGUUGAAAAGGGCACAAGGGCCCUGUUCUGCUAAGCAACCGGUGCUUGGAAUGAAGCCUGAGUUGCAAAGACGGAGAGAAGCUCAGCGUCUGUCUCCGUGGCAUUUGCAGCUGUGUGAAAAAGCCGUCCGUGCGUUUAAACGAAAAGUGUUUUCUUUUUUUAAAAAAUAAAAAAUUAAAGGGUUCCCCCCCCCCUCCUUAAGCGUAAAAGGUUGUGAGCCGAGCAGUUUCCCAGAGAAUAGGGAUGACGCUCAUCUGCCACAUAGCGUCUCCGCCAGACUGGUGCCAAACGCUUCACUCAGCCACCACUUUCCGAAGUGUUUUGACAGGCGGAAAUAGACAGGCCUUGAAGGUGCUGGAUCAGGGAGGGUGUUCGUAUGUACGCCACUUCAGAGGGUUUGCUUUGAAUGCUCACUGAUAAGGAGAGAGUCCUGGCUCCCCUCUCUUUCCUUCCUCCCCCCCCCCUGCUCUUGGGAAUGUCUUGGCAAAGUAAUUACCCAGUUCCCCGAGAAUGCUGUUGAGGAGGGGAGGGCUACCAGAAUGUUCUGCGUCUGCUGUCGCUGUCAAGACGGAAGAAAGAAUAGAAGCUAGGAAACAGCAGCGGCGGAUGAGAAGAUGUGAGGGACAGAGUCACUGCUUCUGCUGAAGUUUAAAAACUAAAACUGCUUAAGCUUGACAGCUCAGACAGCAAAUUAAGCUUUGUUUGGGCAGCGGGUGGGGUAUGUGUGUGUGUCUCCCCCCCCCCUUCAUAGGCUUCUGCUAAACUCCUUGGGGACAAAUGAUGGGUUGAUUCGCUUUUGUGUAAUAACAAGCAGGGCCCACAACAAAAUGUUGUGGCGUGGAGCGUGCUGCUGCUCACCAAGCCCUGUUGUGUGAUACUCCAUUCUGUCUGCCCUCAUCCCCUCCACACACACACCAGAGUGAGUAUUCUUUGCCCACUGAGAUGGUUCUGUCCUUACUGGACUAUGUGAAGGCUUCCCCCCCAAAAAAAAAUUAAGGUUCAUUUUAUUUAUUUUUAACUUUAAAAUACUUCUGCAAGGCUCCUCCAACACUUGCUGGUGCUUGUGUAGAAUCAUAGAAUUACAAUAAAAAAAUUCCUUCAGUAGCACCUUAAAGACCAACUAAGUUUUUAUUUUGGUAUGAGCUUUCGUGUGCAUGCACACUUCUUCAGAUACGUAAAAAAAACCAGUAGGAGAAAAACCAGUAGGAGAACACUUCAAUCUCCCAGGACAUUCUAUACAAGAUCUCAAAGUAGCUGUCUUACUACAAAAGAAUUUCAGAAAUAGACUGGAAAGAGAAGUUGCUGAAUUGCAACUUAUCACCAAGCUCAAAACCAUGGAGGGACCUGGUUUGAACAGAGAUAUCGGGUUCUUAUCUCAUUAUACAUUAUAAGCGAUCUUCAGCCAUCUCAACCCUUGCUUUUUCAUGCAAAACCAUUUGCAGUCGUUUGCGGUCAUCAACAGCUAUCAGUCAGUCAAUCACCCAUUUCCACCACCCUUCUGAGUGAUCCCCCCUCCCCAUCCCCACCCCUCCCCACCCCUUCUCUACAUAAGUGCCUGGAAACUUCCAUUUCACUGUAUCUGAAGAAGUGUGCAUGCACACGAAAGCUCAUACCAAAAUAAAAACUUAGUUGGUCUUUAAGGUGCUACUGAAGGAAUUUUUUUAGAUACGUAUCUGAAGAAGUGUGCAUGCACACGAAAGCUCAUACCAAAAUAAAAACUUAGUUGGUCUUUAAGGUGCUACUGAAGGAAUUUUUUUAUUUUACUUCGACCCAGACCAACACGGCUACCUACCUGUAACCAUAGAAUUACAGAGCUGGAAAGGACCAAUGAGAAUCAAACAGUCCUACUUCCCACAAGUCUGAUGUGAGACUUGAACCCACGACCCUAAGAUUAAGUCUUGUACUCUACCGACUGAGCUAUCUCAGUGUUUGGAUAGUGCUGUUCUGGCUACUUAAAGAUCCAUACUGGGGGGGGGGGAAUAAUUCACUGCAUUAUUGCAGGGUCCAUAUAUAUCUUCACACGCACAAUCGCUACAGAGGGUGCGUGUUAUCCAACUAACUCAUCCCGUCAGCACAGUGAUUUCUGCUAGACUUCCAUUUAACCACCUUUCUUGUUUUUGCUGAGCAGCAAAUGCUGGAAGGGCAAGUCAAUCCCACCGAACCCUCCCCAGGUCUGUACUGUGAGCUUUCCAUCAGGCAGCCAAAAGAGAAAAUUAAACCAUAACAACUCUGUAUGUUUUGAUUGCGAAAAAGGCAACCCAAAGAGAUGGUUUGUUGGGUGGAAUGGUAAUGUGGAAGUGCACCACCUAUUGGCUAAAUUGUAGAACUGCAGGGAUAGAAAGGGUGGGGUCUCUCUUUAAUGGGUUCCUGUAGGCUGCCUACCUGGACAGGUGACCAAUAAGGGUCUCACCUUGAUAGAAUGCUUACAAACCACCGGAAAGUUCUCCCGAGACAGCUUGCCUUCCCUGCUUCAAAAUCACUGGCGUCUUAAAACAGAGCAUCCCUUUGUGCCCGCGAAGUUGUGUAAUAAAUAAUUCUAGGCCAACAGAAUUUGUUAGUUUCUCCUAAAGAAACAUAAUUAUUUUUAAAUGACAAACUGGACCCUUUGUUGAUAAAUGUUUCAUAUCCUGGCUGCUAUGCCUGAAUAACUUGUGUAAAUAAUGUAUUAGCUCACAAAUGGACUUAGCACAUUCUAGCGGCGCGGGAAGAAUGCUAAAAGGAAAGUGGUUUGAUCCUGCGGGGUGCUGGCUCCUUCGCUGCUGGAGGAAGUCAGCGGGUGGAAGACUGGGGCUGCGUUUCAGCAUCUCUCAGGCUGAUGCAACGGAGCAAACCAAAUAUUCUGGAUGCAGAUGUGGUCAAGCAUCAAUUAAUGCAGAUAUUUUGUGCACAAGCAAAAAAAAGCUUGUUCAAUGGCCCACAGCUUCCCCUCCAAGAUCUGUGGAAUUGUUUUCCCAACUAACCACCCCUCAAAAAAAUAUAAAAAAUCCAAGUUACAGGUAGGUGGCCGUGUUGGUCUGACGUAGUACACCCACUCCCACCACAAGGAGGGAGCAAUACCCCCCCACCCUCUCACUAUAUAUAAGCAUCUGGUGGCUUCUGUUUCAGUGUAUCUGAAGAAGUGUGCAUGCACACAAAAGCUCAUACCAAUGACAAACUUAGUUGGUCUCUAAGGUGCUGCUGGAAGGAAUUUUUUUAUUUUGUUUUUUAAAAAUCCAGAUUUGUUUUGUACGAUAAUUAGCACAAAAAAAGGACCUCUGAUAGUUGGGGAAAGUCCCACCAAGCCACCUUAUAUGAACUUGGUUUUUCUUUCCUACUUGUACUGGGACAUCUGAGAAAACUGCCUUAACCACAGACCAGGGUGUUUUUGUUUUUUUGUUUUUGUGGUAUGGCAUGAACCCAACGCUCAGGAUCCAUUCUCAUUUUCUGCAUUUGUGUUUGAGGGUGGGUGGGAUGUUUUUUUCUUGGCUGAUGAUUCUUGGAGGAAGGGGCCUCUUUUGCCUUUUCCCAUCGCAUGUUUGCUCCAUCUUUGUGUGCGCCUCCUCUCUCUGCUUGUGACACAUAUGGAUCACAUGGGUGGCUGAGUGUGUGGGUGGCCUGCCCCAGCAGGGGGUUGCACUGCUUUGCUCCUUUGAUCCUUCCUGCGACCCCAAGAAUAACUCUGCACUGGUGUUGCCAAAUCUGGAGACUGUGCUGGACAUCUGGUUUUAAAAAGAAGCGUAGUAUCAUCUACGGUAGCCUUCUGGUACCCUGCAGAUGUUGUUGGGCUACAGUGAACCCUUGAUUAUUCCAACGCUGAUGCAAAAUGGGAGCCCAGCAACAUCUGGAAGGCUGACCUCUUCUGAGGAAGGCAUGAAGCUGAUCUGUCACUUCCAGACAUUUCUGAGGCUCGUUUCUAUUUCAUUCUUCGUUUCAGUUGACAGCAGAAACUGGCAAAAUGGAAUAUGAUUCCAUCUAACAAUGACAUCUUCCUUGCCCCAACUUAGUUCUGGCCUCCUAACAGCUCAGGCUAGCCAUGCUUCUGACUUUGGCUUCUUUGCGCCAGACGUUUCACCCCUAGACGAGAAGCAGGUAAUAAGUAUCUUUAAUCCCAUUGAUAGUUACAUCAAGCAUGCAUUAUUUUGUUCUUUCGGAUGUGAGUCGUUAUAUGAAAGUCCUGCCCCCAAACCUAUCAACAUCUCCAAAAGUGAAGCCAAGUAUUAGCAAGUGAGAAAUCCCUCCUCUUAAUAUUAGUCGAAGAGUAAUGAGUUUUAGAUCCCAUGACCCCUCCUGUGGGAAAUAAAACUUGAUGCAUUUGACAGGUCCAUGAUGUGUCUGCCCGAAGACAUGUGACAUAGAUUUAUCCGAAAUAGGGCUUGUCUAUUCACUGAAGAUGCUUCUGUCCGAUGAAAUCAUUAAAGCAUAUUUCACUAAGUAGAGCCGAGCUUGACUUUAAUGGCUUCUAUAUCGGAGUAUUUUUAUGUAUAGCAUAGCACUGCACGGCGAGCAUCUGAACAGCCAUUAGAGGCUGUAAAUGUGAUUUAAAAUACCUUAGUGCCCAUCUGCACAAUGAGAUUAUAGCCCUGGUGGAGUAGGAGCUGGGCCAUCUUCUCCCCUUGUCCCUUUCAACUAGGCUGUCACGGGAUGGAAAGGUCUGGUACUUACCCCACCAGUGGUCUCAGAACUGGAAGAAACUCUCACGAUGCACAUCAGAUAUCACUGUGUGCACAGAUUUUCUAACCUACAGAUUGCAUCCACUUUAUUUUAUUUUUAAAUGUGACUUCCACAUGCCGCAGUUGUGGGAACUUGAUGAUGUUGACAAAGGGUUGACUCAUAAUGGCAUAGGCUUCUCCCCCCCCCCCCAUGAAUCACCUUAUUUCCAAUGUUUAGUGGAGGAGCCACACCAGAAUGAUACCCAUGUCCCUUAGGGUGACUCAAAAGCCGUCCCUAAGUCGCAGAAUGGACCUUAGUCACAACUAUGGCCUAUUUACCCAGAGUGAUGUCUUCCGAGGCCUCCAUAUGUGUUGAUUAAGCCAGUAGAGAAACCUUGGGCCAUAUGGAACAGCACUGGGAAGGCUGGCUGAGCACUUGCCUUGCAUCCAGAAGUUCUCAGAUUCAAUCCCAGCCAUGGCCGUCUUAAGCAUAUCUGGCGCCGUGGUGCAAAUAUCCCUCCGGCGCCCGCCGCCCCUGUUUCCCAGAGUUGUCUACCUUUUCCCAAGCCUCUGCGGGGAUCGCUCUCCUUCUGCAGAGCCUUGGGAAGGAAGCUGCACGUCCACCAGCCAUAUAGUUGGCGGGGCGCAGCUUCCAUCCUAAGCCUCUUCAGGGAUUGCUCUCCUCCCGAAGAGGCUUGAGAGCCAAGCUGCAUGCCCGCCAGCCAUAUGGUUGACAGGGCGCAGCUGGUGGGCAUGCAGGAGGGAAAGGGGAGGCCGCCGGCAAAGCCGCGCAGCUUCCCCCACUCGCUGGGGCACCCCUGAGAAGCUGGCGCCCUGGCGAAAUGCACCAGCAAACCCAAUGGGGAAGACGGCUCUGAUCCCACCCAUCGCCAGGUUGGGUUGGGAGAUGCUCCAGUCUGAAAGCCCAGAUUACUGCUCCCAGUCAGUGCGGGCUAUGCUGAACUAGCUGGACCAAUGGGUCUGACUCUGUAUAAUGUAACUUCUCAUGUUCCAUCCAUGCUAACAUGACCCCGUGCACUUUCCCCUGUAAUAUCAGGCUUAUAUCAUGAUCACCUCCUGAAAAAUCACAACUAGUUCACGAUGAAAGUGAUGCAACAGUUGCAGAAUACAUCAGAAUCACAUUCCAGUUCUGCCUCAAUUUCUUUUCUGGGCAACAAUGCAUAGCUAAACCUUCAACUGUAUCAUAAUCUGGUUUCUUCAUAUUCUGGUGCACUAGAUUCUAAGACAUGUUCUAGGAGCCUGGCUCUCCAUCAUGGGCAGGGAUGGGGAGGAAACUGCACUGAAUUCAUACCUGUUGAAGCCAUAAAAGGAAUUGGUCUUUUUCUCCUCUGCACUUUCAAAAUCCAUUGUUGAAACUUAUUUUGCAGAGCUCCUUUGGCGAAUCCAGCUUGGCUGUGUCACGUUCGUUGGCUUUCCUGUGUUCCAAAGGGCCACGACGACCAGCGUUUCCAUAAUUUCUGCCACUUUGCUAACACCUCAGCCUAUUUUGCUUGGCUACGUCAAGGGUGCAAUGUCUGGCUGAUCCAAUGUUAAUGAACCAGACUGAAUGAAAUACUCUUGAUGGCUGCCUCUUGGCGCUUGGCACAAAACUCCUUUUUAUGUUGGUUUCAAGGUCGUCAGAUAUCAUUAUAGCCAAGUAUUAAAAAUUUCAAAGAAAGGAGGCAGUGUGUUUGAUUUAUAGAAUAAUUAUCUUGCUUUAGCUCUAACUUGGCUUUGGCAAUGGUUCUGCAAGCACUCGAAAAUUAAAUCCAUUUUUUAUGGCACUACAAGGUAUUAUCUCACAGCAAAUGAUAAUUAAACACCUGCGAAAUCAAUUAGCUCUUUAAGCAGGAGGGGGGGGGGAGUUUUCCAAUUAUGUUUUUGCACCUUCCAAACUUCCCCUGCCCUGAAUUCAGAAAACCAGUGCUUGAGUGAAGAAAGAAGUUUGAAGUUCCUACCAAUUGUAUAGGGUGUGUGUGUGUGUUUUGUGAAGGACUAUCCCUAAAUGGCACUGAACCUCAAUCCAGACACAGCCAAUUUAAUGGCAGUGGCGCCUGCCCAAGUGUGCUGCGUUAGAGCUCACUCCUAGACGACCGUCUCUCUUGACACGCAGCUGAGCUGUUGGGUUUCCUGCAAAAGCCGUUACUCACUUUUCUGUUUCGGAUGCCAAGUUUUACUUGACAGCUUAUUUAAAAGCCAAGGUACCUUAAUGGAAAGCAGCCAGCAAGGCAUUCGGUGGAACAGAACCGGCGAUUCUCUUUGGGCGCUCUCUCUUUGUCUCCCCGUCUCGCUCUUUCUCUCUUCGGUACUUCUGAACUAUCCGCAUUAAGAGUUCAUGUGCUGCAAACUUCCCGAUUGGUUAAUAGCUGAAACUUAAUACGCUGGAAAAAAUAAGGAAGAACUCUUGCCGUUUUGCCCUGAAGUAUCAUGUGUAUUUAAUUACUUUAGCUGUUGCGACACUUUAACUGAUCCAGAUGCUGCAUUUGGGAUGAUAGUAUAUGGUGUUUUUUUUCCUACGGAGUGUGCAGAUUCAGGAAAGGAGAACUGGAAAGAUUUGGGUGCUUGCCACAGCAGCUCUCCCCCCCCCCCGGCUGCUUUUUCUUUUCUUUUUGGCUCAGAAAACAGUGGGGAGGGGAGGUAAGCAGAAUGUGUUCCUACUGCCACAGCAGGCAGCUGGCUGGCAAUGUUAACCUGCUUCACUGCAUCCGACAGCCGAUUAAGUAUGGUGCUUGCGAAAUGCAUUUUGUCGGACUUGAACUCCUUGCUGGCCUUGGCUUCUCUUUUGAGAUAUAUCUUGGAGGAAAAUUAAAGGGUGGCUGUUAGAAUUUCCAAUAUAACGUCCGAGAGGCUGCUCUAACUUGGUGACUUUCAUGCUAAAGCCCAGAGCUACAAGAGCAGCAAUUGUGGACAAUAAAAUCUUGAACUACAAUGAACUACAAAUCUUAGGAUGUCCGAAAGUCUGUUACAUAGAAGACAGCAAAUUCUGGUCUUCUGAUGCCCAAGAGGAGAGGUCUAGAUCUAAUGGGGUUAAGCUACAGGAGGGUAGAUUUUGGCUGGCCAGAAAUCUCUUGAUGGUAAGAGCAGCUCAGCAGUAGAAACACUCACCUGGAGAGGUGGUGGGUUCAUCGUCAGUGGAGGUCUCAACCAGAGGCUGGACAGCCAUCUGUUGGGAAUGCUCUAUCUAACUUUGGUUUCCUUCCACUGAGCAGGAAAUAAGUUGGCCUGGACAACCUACAAAACCUCUUCAAACUUUCUGAUUGUCCUGCAGCUUGCAGCCCCAGGAGAUUGUGAGGCGUGUUCUGGGCCCCGGUCCAUUCACAUAGUGAGACACAAUAGUCCACAUCAGCAAUCCUUGUGAACUGAACGUUCCACAUUUUGACCAGAAAAUCUGUGCAAUGUGCAAGAGCUCUUGGGCACCCAGUUUGGCGAGGAAGGGGUUUGCUGAAGAUAACCACCAAACUGGUCUUCAGUUUGUGGUAAAUCAUGAUCUGAGUCCUUCCCUAACCUAUGUGACAUUAGGUUGGUCCACCUGUCACAGUAAACCAUGGUUAUUGGCUUACUGUGAGCAAGCAGAUCUUCCCAUUCUGCUCUUCCCCUAGCACAAGUGGGGAAGCAACAAGCCACACUAUAACCUUGGAAGGCGCAGAAUAAACCUUGAAUGCAAAUUGCCAGACAUAAUUUUAAUCCAAUGGGAUGAAUAAAGUGGGUACCAUCUGAUCAUUCACAGCAAGCUAUUUAACGGUGGCCUGCUGUGGUGUGCGGCUGAAGCCAUUGUCAUAACUAUCUAUUUCCUGCAUAAGUUGAGUGUGCUUCUAAAAGAAAGAUGCGGGUGGAUGCCAUUUUUCAAGAGGGUCCCAUGCUUUUAUUGAUACAGUCUCCCCCACGACAGUGGUGCCUCGCUUAACGAAUGCCCUGCUUAACGAAAUUUCCGCUUAACGAAAGGAUUUUUCGAGCGGAGGUUGCCUCGCUAGAUGAAUUCGUUUUAUGAAAAAAUCGUCUAGCGAAUCGCGGUUUCCCAUAGGAAUGCAUUGAAAUUCAAUUAAUGCAUUCCUAUGGG